UUCCACCCCCCCCCGCCGUGGGCAAUGGGUCGGGCCGAGGGUCCCCCCCGCUGUGGGGUCUGGAGUGGGUCAGUCCGUGGGUCUCCCCUCCACCAUGGGGGUCUGGAGUGGGUCAAUUAGUGGGUCCCUCCAUGGGGGUCUGGAGUGGGUCAGUCCGUGGGUCUCCCCCCCACCAUGGGGGUCUGGGGUGGGUCAAUCCGUGGGUCCCUCCAUGGGGGUCUGGAGUGGGUCAGUCCAUGGGUCUCCCCCCCAUGGGAGUCUGGAGUGGGUCAAUCCGUGGGUCUCCCCCCCAUGGGGGUCUGGAGUGGGUCAAUCCGUGGGUCCCUCCAUGGGGGUCUGGAGUGGGUCAGUCCGUGGGUCCCUGUGGAGCGGGUUGGUCCAUGGGUCCCCCCGUGGGGUCUGGAGUGGGUCUGUCCGUGGGUCCGUCCGUGGGUCCCCCCCAUAGGGGGCUGGAGCAGGUCGGUCGUGGAUUGUCCCCCCCCCGCGCUGUGGGGUCCGCUGUGGGUCGCUCCGUGGUGCUUCUCCCCCCCCGCGGGGGGCCAGAAUGGUUCAGUCUGCAGCCCCGGGACCCCCCUCCCAAGAUGGGGGGCACAGUGGGUCGGUCCAUGGGUCCCCCCAUGGGGGUCUGUGGUGGGUCGGUCCGUGCUUCCCCAUGGCCGUGCUGUGGGUCGGUCCAUGCCCCUCUUUGGGGUCCCACCGUGGGUCAGUCCAUGCUCCCCAUGGGGGUCCUGCUGCGGGUCGAUCUGCGCUCCCCCAUGGCCGCGCCAUGGGUCGGUCCGUGCCCCCCACAGGGUCUUGCUGUGGGUCAGUCCAUGCCCCCCACAGGGUCUCGCUGUGGGUCGCUCUGUGCCCCCCACAGGGUCUUGCUGUGAGUUGCUCCGUGCCCCCCGCGGGAUCUCGCCGUGGGUCAGUCCAUGCCCCCCGCGGGAUCUCACCGUGGGUCAGUCCAUGCCCCCCACAGGGUCUCGCUGUGGGUCGCUCCGUGGCCCCCACAGGAUCUCGCCGUGGGUCAGCCCGUGCCCCCCACGGGGUCUCGCCGUGGGUCGCUCCACACUCUCCCCACAGGGGGUCUCGCCA
rnacentral:lncRNA from 1 species